rnacentral:rRNA from 1 species
UUGAACGCUGGCGGCAGGCCUAACACAUGCAAGUCGAGCGGCAGCGCGGGGCAACCUGGCGGCGAGCGGCGGACGGGUGAGUAACGCGUAGGAAUCUACCCAGUAGCGGGGGAUAGCCCGGGGAAACUCGGAUUAAUACCGCAUACGCCCUAAGGGGGAAAGCAGGGGAUCGUAAGACCUUGCACUAUUGGAAGAGCCUGCGUUGGAUUAGCUAGUUGGUAGGGUAAAGGCCUACCAAGGCGACGAUCCAUAACUGGUCUGAGGGGAUGAUCAGUAAAACCGGAACUUAGACCCGGUCCGGACUCCUACGGGAGGCAGCAGUGGGGAAUAUUGGAAAAUGGGGGCAACCCUGUUCCAGCCAUGCCGCGUGUGUGAAGAAGGCCUUCGGGUUGUAAAGCACUUUAAGUGGGGAGAAAGGUUCGGCAGCUAAUACCUGCCGGAAGUGAUGUUACCCACAGAAUAAGCACCGGCUAACUCUGUGCCAGCAGCCGCCGUAA